AUUAUUAUGUUGAAUAAAUUGUUUGUGUAGUACUAGUGACAAAGAUUUUGAAGCUUUAGAGAACAAAUAUUCAGAUUGAAGACAACUGUAAGAAGAAAGGUUAUUCAAUUUCAGUUUUUGAAUUACUUUAGAGAAUGAUUGUUAUUCAUUUUUUUUUGUGCUUGGUUUAUAUUAUUUACUAAUCACAUUAAUUAUAUGUUAUUUAGUUCCAGGUUUGAGUUUCAAAAUUGUGCGUCUGGACUGUAUGUGAACAAGAACUAACAUAAUUAAAUUGGGGAAAAAUAACCGAGGCUGAGACACUUUUGCAAUUGAGCAGGAAGAAGUGAAGGUUUAAAGAGUCGACCCUGUUGGUAUACAAAGAUGAUACCUAUAAUUAUGUACCGAGGAUAGGAGAUUUUGAGAUUAUAUUUGCAGCAAAUGAUGUUCUGCAACACCUGAUACAUGUAAAGAUGGUCGAAGACGAGAGUGAGAAUUUGAGCAACCUGUGUCUGUGGUGAAGGAGAUGUUAAAGGAGAUGAUGCAUUAGUGAUAGUGGUUAUAUAAACAAGUUGGAGACAGUACUUUAGCUUGAGGUAGUUGGAUGACAAAUAAAAAUGAACAACUUUUCAAGAGCGCAAGCUAAUAUUUCAUACUGCCAUCGAGCACCAAACUCAACCGGAAGGAUCUGUUAGAGAUACCAUGUCAACAUUGCAAUUAGAGGAUUGAUUUUUUUUUUAUUGUGACUAUAUUGCAAACGGUUAGAAGAUUGUAAAUGGAUGUUCUGGUUGGAUGUUGUAUUAUGAUUUUUAUCACACAUGCAAAGCUAUAUAUAAGAUCAUUUGCUUGAUUUAA